AAGUGCCCGACCAGCUGGAAAUCCCGGUCAGUUCCCAAACUCCGAGCUCGCAAUCGGGCCCCUAACUCUGGGCCGGCCUGUACCAAGCGCGCGAUCCCAUCCCGGAACCAAAGCCCUGUUCUCUAGGGAACACUCCACCUCGGUGUCUCGCAGGCCACCCUUUAACAACCCCAGGAAGGCACCCUGGUGAUAAUAAAAGCAACGUGGCUAAUGUUCAUGGAGGGUUCACAGUGGCUACUAGAACAUUUGAAAUGACAUAUGUGGCUCCCGGUUACAUUUCUGUUGGACAGCACUGGUCUAGGAGUUGAGGGGACCCAGCGAGGGCCCAAUAGCCUGUGCUACUACAGUUGGGAAGAAUUCUGAGGAAAUGGAACAAUUAGGAGCAAGCAACAGAACACUGAGGAAGGAUGUGGGAAGACAUUUGAGAAGUUUGAUCAUGAAGGGAAGGAGGGGAGAUGGCAGCUUAAGGAGGCAACAGAGUCCCAGGAACCAUGUACACAUCACCGACCCAGCCCGUCCUCCCGUUCCUGACGUCUUCCAAAAAUAUGGUGGUACCUCCAGUCACCCUCCCAUGCAAUGACUCUGGAGGAAGGCUCCUUCCUCUCAAUCCUGGACAAUGGGGAGUUGGCCUGUGAGCUGGGUUUAGAUGCUAAGUAUUGACUGAUUCUCAGCCCCGGAGAAAGGGAAGUGGUGGGGGAAGGGAAGGGAGCUCAGGGACCCCCGUGCUGUUGGAGCUAGGAGUUUGGUCAGUGUUUGAAAUGGGGAGGACUUCUCAGAGGAGCAGAGUGGGAGGAGGAAGUCAGCCCUCAAACCUGGCCAGACAAAGCAUCCACUGUGGACACAUUUCAUCAGGAGAAAUCAGGCAGCCUGGAUCUGAUGUUCCUGCCUCUGCCCUCCCACUCAGCCACACGGAGAAGCCGUAAACACUCAGAUACAAGGAUUAACUCUGCGUGUGGUGUCUGGGACAUUGUGAACAACUCUUGGUAGCUGUGUUAAAAUUGAUCUUUCUAACCCCCAGCACCUAGGAUGUGGGGCCUGUUACACAGCCAGUGUUCAAUAAAUAUCGAUGGAUGGAGAGGAAGGAGGAGGAAGAGGAAGGAAGAGAGGGAGGCCCUGGGCCCACAAGCUUUGAGAGACAGUGUAUGUCCAGGCUUGUAGCCUUCCUGGGUAAAACUCUGCUCCUAGUCUCUUAUCCUAUUAAGUACUUUUUAAAAGCCUCUUAUGGCCUCUGAAAAAGGAAAGAUAAUGUGAAGAAUUCCAGGAGGGUUGGACGAGCCUGUACCGGGCUGGGGGUGGCUGAGUUAGUUCCUGGACCAGCAAAGGAAAGACUCCCGAAGCACAUCAGAAGCCUGCAGUUUUCCGAUAUGGCCACUGGAGGGCACUUCAACCAAGUAAUACCAGCUCUCCUCCACCUCUCUUGUCCUUGGAGAGCCCAGAUUUCAACAAAAGUUUAAAAAUCAUCACAAUAAUGAUAGCUGUCCUGGUUGAAUAUCCAAUAAGGGGCUAAACGCCUUAAACAUAUAUCAUCUCAUUUAAUAUUCACUACAAUUGUGAAUUAUUUUAGCUAUUUAGGAAAAACUGAGGCUUAAAGGAGCCGAAGAAUUUACUGAAAACCCCCUAGCUAAAUACAAUUUGGGAGUAAGAACCUGAAACCAAGCCCGUGGGCACCGACCAUAAACAAUGAACACACAAGAAGCUGAAAAGGAGACUGGAUAGAAGCAGAGAGUCUGCUACACAAAUAUUGUUACUGAACAACUUACACAUAUAUGAAAUUGGAAGACGGCUUACAGAUAAUUUGUACGUUUCAUACAGUAAUGUUUCUUUUCU